CCUAAUUGUUACUGUAAGUCGCUCUUGAUAAGAGCGUCUGCUAAAUGACUAAAA
rfam:Salmo salar isolate Sally breed double haploid chromosome ssa06, whole genome shotgun sequence.